AUAUGACAUAUUACUGGAAUGGCAUACAAAAGACGAGGAAGUCAAAGAGGCAAUGAUUAAAUGGGCAAUUGACUUCGGUUAUAACAUCGAGUUUGAAAAGUGGUUGAAAUUGUGGAAUAGAGACAUUAAAUUUACGGCCUGUACGAGUUUGAGAGAAAAUGUUUGGAAAAUGCUCUAUAGAUGGUAUCUUACGCCGGCAAAAUUGGCUAAAAUCUAUAGAUCAGAAAAUAAGACAUGCUGGAAAUGUGGUGAAGGGGAGGGAGACCUCUACCAUAUGUGGUGGCAAUGCAGCAAGGUGAAGGUUUUUGGGAAGCAAUUUAUAAUGAACUUAAAAAGUUUUUAAAUACACUUUUCCCAAGAGACCUGAGGCCUUUUUGCUGGGAAUAAUGGGUAAGGAAAUAAAAAUGAAGAUAAAAAUAUUUCUCUAUGCCACCACAGCCGCAAGAAUUAUGCUGGCACAAAACUGGAAAAUAGAAACUAUUCCUAACAUAAGUGACUGGCAGGUCAAAAUGAUCAACUAUGCCGAGCUAGAUAGAUUAACAGGCAGAAUACGAGACCAAGACGACCAGAAAUUUCAAAAAAUUGGAGUAAGUUUUGGAAAUAUAUUGGAACGGAUAUAUAGGAGGAGCUGGCGGUAUUAGAAAAACUUUAUCAGCUAAUAACUAUAAACUUUAAUAAACUAAUUACGCAACCCGGGACUUAUUUGAUACUUACCAAAAGGGUGAAGGGAAGUCAAAGGCUAAGGAGAGCCUAAUGGUUAUAUUAUUAUUUUUUGUAUGAACGUAUGCUUUCUUUUUGUAUAGUAUGAAAAUAGGAUGAAUAAUUUAUGUUAAAAUGUUUAUUUUUGUAUUUGUUAGUUCUUUUUUCUUUUCUUUAUACAAAUUCUGAAUAAAAAUUUACUUGCGAAAAAAAAAA